rnacentral:rRNA from 1 species
GAAGUUAAAGGCUGUGGCUUAACCAUAGUACGCUUUGGAAACUGUUUAACUNGAGUGCAGAAGGGGAGAGUGGAAUUCCAUGUGUAGCGGUGAAAUGCGUAGAUAUAUGGAGGAACACCGGUGGCGAAAGCGGCUCUCUGGUCUGUAACUGACGCUGAGGCUNGAAAGCGUGGGGAGCGAACAGGAUUAGAUACCCUGGUAGUCCACGCCGUAAACGAUGAGUGCUAGGUGUUAGGCCCUUUCCGGGGCUUAGUGCCGCAGCUAACGCAUUAAGCACUCCGCCUGGGGAGUACGACCGCAAGGUUGAAACUCAAAGGAAUUGACGGGGGCCCGCACAAGCGGUGGAGCAUGUGGUUUAAUUCGAAGCAACGCGAAGAACCUUACCAGGUCUUGACAUCCCGAUGCCCGCUCUAGAGAUAGAGUUUUACUUCGGUACAUCGGUGACAGGUGGUGCAUGGUUGUCGUCAGCUCGUGUCGUGAGAUGUUGGGUUAAGUCCCGCAACGAGCGCAACCCUUAUUGUUAGUUGCCAUCAUUCAGUUGGGCACUCUAGCGAGACUGCCGGUAAUAAACCGGAGGAAGGUGGGGAUGACGUCAAAUCAUCAUGCCCCUUAUGACCUGGGCUACACACGUGCUACAAUGGCUGGUACAACGAGUCGCAAGUCGGUGACGGCAAGCUAAUCUCUUAAAGCCAGUCUCAGUUCGGAUUGUAGGCUGCAACUCGCCUACAUGAAGUCGGAAUCGCUAGUAAUCGCGGAUCAGCACGCCGCGGUGAAUACGUUCCCGGGCCUUGUACACACCGCCCGUCACACCACGAGAGUUUGUAACACCCGAAGUCGGUGAGGUAACCUUUUAGGAGCCAGCCGCCUAAGGUGGGAUAGANGAU